rnacentral:rRNA from 1 species
UACGUAGGGUGCGAGCGUUAUCCGGAAUCAUUGGGCGUAAAGAGCUCGUAGGCGGUUCAGCAAGUCGGCUGUGAAAGUCCGAGGCUCAACCUCGGAAUUGCAGUCGAUACUGCUGUGACUCGAGUCCGGUAGAGGAGAAUGGAAUUCUCGGUGUAGCGGUGAAAUGCGCAGAUAUCGAGAGGAACACCAGUAGCGAAGGCGGUUCUCUGGGCCGGCACUGACGCUGAGGAGCGAAAGCGUGGGGAGCAAACAGGAUUAGAAACCCCGGUAGUCC